GCUGUCAUUUGUUUUUUCUUUCUUUUUGAAGGAAAAAAGGAAGUAGAGCAUCAGUUCGUACAUGUUGUUUGGUCCGCUCACACUCUGACAUGGCUGUUCAUCUCGGCUUCCUUCUCAUUUUGAUCGGACUCACAGGAAGUCACGGCAUAACUACCGUCAGUAAAGUGUCAGUGAGAGCUGGAGGUUCGAUCACCAUUCCAUGUCUCUACGAGUCACAAUACAUAAACCAUGUGAAAUACUUGUGUAAAGGAUCUACUUGGAACUUCUGCUCUGACGCGAUUAAAACAAACCAACACAAUACAGGGAAGUUUUCCAUCUCUGAUGACAAACAACGAAAAAUCUUCACUGUGACUAUAAAUGACCUGACUGAUAAGGACACUGAAUAUUACUGGUGUGCUGUGGAGAUUAAAGAUGGAGCAGAUCUCAAAGAGUAUUUCCACCUGUCAGUCACUGGAGGUUCACCCAGUCUCUACGUGGCUCAGCAAGAGAUUACAGGAUUUAAAGGAGAUAACAUAAACAUCAAGUGUCACUAUCGAAACUCUAGAGAAAGGAAGUGGUGCAGGCUCGGCGGCUCCUGUGUGACACGGUCUGGAUCAAUAGAUGGAGCAAGAGUCGAGAUCAGUGCAAGCAACUCUGGUGUUCUCACUGUGACUCUGAGCGGACUGAGGACAGAGAGCAGUGGCUGGUAUUGGUGCGGUAAAGGAGACUUACAGAUGCCAGUGCACAUAACUGUUACUGAGAAACCUACAACUACAAAAAGUCCUUCCACCCCUGAGCCUGUGAAGCAAACCACUAGUUCUGCAGACCAAACACUUUCCACUGUUGAUGGCGAACAGCAAAGUUUUUCAGGGAACUUAAAGAGCUUUAUCAUCCCUUUGAGUUUGCUGAUCUUCAUUGUUAUGGUGGCCAUGUUUAUUUGGUUUAUGUUCAAAAAGCACAGACAGACCAAAGAAGAAUCCCCAGCCACAAUAAUUUCUAAUGCGGAAGUAACAUACAGUACUGUCAAGAAAAAGAGAAAGACAGGUCAGCUUGGUCUCGCUGAAGAGGAAGUAACAUACAGCGAUGUUAAACACAUGAGAAGAGCUUCAGAAAAGUGGUCAGAAGCUAAUAGAGAUGUGGACGUGAUGUACUCCUCUGUGGUCGCUGAAGAACGUCAAACUAAACAAAGGUCUAAUGCGGAUGUAACAUACAGUACUGUCAAUAAAAAGAGAAAGACUUCAGGUCAGGAAGAAUUGUUCAUGUUCAUGUUGAUGGUUUGCAGCUUGGUCUCGCUGAAGAGGAAGUAACAUACAGCGAUGUUAAACACAUGAGAAGAGCUUCAGAAAAGUGGUCAGAAGCUAAUAGAGAUGUGGACGUGAUGUACUCCUCUGUGGUCGCUGUAGAACGUCAAACUAAACAAAGGAUUCAAGCGGAAGAAGAUGAUGUAACAUACAGCAGUUUGGCUUAGCACCAGAGAAACCUGUGAAUGUUACCCCUACUCUACAUCUAUGCUCAUCGAUGGAGGCUUUUUUAGAUGACAGUCUUGCAACUUGCCGACAUCUGAUCUUUGGUUUUGCAGAAACCGCUUUCUUUUUUUCUUAUUUCUCCCCUUCCCCUUUCUUCAUAUCCUUAAGCUCAAGACAUUUUAUGCAUUGACAAAAGCUUUCUACUCUCUUACAAAAGGACUAAACUCCUGAACAUUCAGGAGGAACCAAACAAAUCUUACAGGUUGUUUAAUUAUGUUUGUUCAUUUACAUAUUGUAUUAUGUGUGUUUUGUUGUUUGAUGUUUGAUGGAACAUGAAUUAUAAUGUUUAAAGUACAAAAUAAGUCAACUAAAAUAAACAUUAAAAUGCAAUAAAUCACGAGUUGAUAUUUCAGUUUCUGCCAUCCUCCUUGUCUUCUUCUUCUUAUAUAUUUAACUGUUCGAAACAUCAACUUUCUGAUGGCUCAUAAAGUAAUAUUAUCUCUCCAUUUUUUAUGCACUGUGCGUGUUUGACACAUACUUCAAAUGGUUGUCGUGGUUUAAUGUUUUAAAUAAAUGAACAAGGUUUAGUCCAUAUGCCUGAAGUGCUAUUCUUUUGUUUAGAAAUAUGGAACUUGUCCCAAAGUCUACAGUAAAUGAUAUUGUAAAAUUGCACUGUAGAGGCAUUGUUAGUGAACUCUAAUUUCUCUGAU